rnacentral:lncRNA from 1 species
GCUUUGGCUGAUUGGAUGUCUCCUACCUGUGUGUUUUAGUAAUGGUUACCGGGAACCAAUACUAGUAACUGCUGAGGCAUUUAUUAAACAACAAAAUGGCCUUGUUUUAAGGUCUGUGUUUUAGCAACGGUUACCCGGAACUGGUAUGAGUAACUGCUGAGGCAUUUAUUAAACAACAAAAUGGCUACCUAGGCAACAUGGAGUCACUAUGGCUAAGUAGGCCCAGGCAGGCCCUACGGGUUUAACAGGUUUUAAUGUGAAAUCAGCCCCAAUAGAGGCAGCUGCAUCCCAAAUGCGUUGCCUGGGGCCCUGAGAGGACAGUGGGGUCCCGAGCAGAAAGGAAUGCCCUGGAGGAGUGUUCUGACAAAUGCCUGGAAAAGCUUGGAUCUGAGCCACCAGACCCCUUCACUCUCUCUUCUUUCAGCUGCCACCUGGGAUGCUGGUCUCCAGGUCCCUUUGAGCAGUGAGCUGAGCCACCUGGUGGCAGAGAUCUGAGCUUUGGGAGGGCAGCUGGAGCAAAGCAUCCAGGUGAACAGCUGUCUAAGAUUGCAGCUGGAGCACCAGUUGGAUGGCAGGGGGAGAAAAACCGGCCUCAGCCUCUCCUCGCCCACCAGGAGGACCCUGGAAACAAGCAACCACUCUUCCAAGGGUGAGGACAAUAAUCACAUGUAUCUUAUGGACAAUCAUAUGCAUGUCAUAUGGUAAUAUGGUAAUUAUGCCUUAAGUGCAAUAAUUUACAAGUGCCUGACAUGGUAAGCAUUGCUCAACAGUUAAUAGGUUGUGAGUUAAUAUCUAUUCCUUGUAUUUGUGGAGUGCUUUAAAAUUUACCAUGAGUUUUCAAACAAUUUUCCAAACUGUUUCAUCUGAGGUAAGGGAGGUUUUGCCUUUGUAUUUCAACGUGGG